CCAUCAUGAACGACACCGACACCGUAACUAUCCGCAUUAGAAAGUUCAUGACCAACCGACUACUUCAGAGGAAACAAAUGGUCAUUGAUGUCCUUCACCCCGGGAAGGCAACAGUGCCUAAGACAGAAAUUUGGGAAAAACUAGCCAAAAUGUACAAGACCACACCAGAUGUCAUCUUUGUUAUAUGGAUUCAGAACUCAUUUUGGUGGUGGCAAGACAACUGGCUUUGGCAUGAUUUAUGACUCCUUGGAUUAUGCAAAGAAAAAUGAAUCCAAACAUAAGACUUGCAAGACAUGGCCUGUAUGAGAAGCAAAAGACCUCAAGAAAGCAACGAAAGGAACGCAAGAACAGAAUGAAGAAAGUCAGGGGGACUGCAAAGGCCAAUAGUGAGUUUAGGUGCAGAACACAUUUACAUUUUGGAUUAACUCUGAAUGAUUAUUUUUAG